rnacentral:rRNA from 1 species
GCCAGACUCCUACGGGAGGCAGCAGUGGGGGAUAUUGCACAAUGGGGGAAACCCUGAUGCAGCGACGCCGCGUGAGCGAUGAAGUAUUUCGGUAUGUAAAGCUCUCUCAGCAGGGAAGAAAAUGACGGUACCUGACUAAGAAGCCCCGGCUAACUACGUGCCAGCAGCCGCGGUAAUACGUAGGGGGCAAGCGUUAUCCGGAUUUACUGGGUGUAAAGGGAGCGUAGACGGCGGCGCAAGCCAGAUGUGAAAGCCCGGGGCUCAACCCCGGGACUGCAUUGGAAACUGCCGGGCUGGAGUGCCGGAGGGGUAAGCGGAAUUCCUGGUGUAGCGGUGAAAUGCGCAGAUAUCAGGAAGAACACCGGUGGCGUAGGCGGCUUACUGGACGGCAACUGACGCUGAGGCUCGAAAGCGUGGGGAGCAAACAGGAUUAGAUACCCCAGUAA